rnacentral:tRNA from 1 species
GCCUCGGUAGCUCAGCCGGCAUAGCGCGUGCCUUUUAAGCCCGUGGCCGCGGGUUCGAGCCCCGCCCGAGGUG